GGAGAAUUGAGAGGAGCUGUCCCUAGUACGAGAGGACCGGGAUGGACGUACCUCUGGUGUACCGAUUGUGGCGCCAGCCGCAUCGUCGGGUAGCUAAGUACGGAAGGGAUAACCGCUGAAAGCAUCUAAGCGGGAAGCCCCCCUCGAAACAAGUUCUCCCUUGAGAGCCGUGGAAGACCACCACGUUGAUAGGCCAGGUGUGGAAGUGCGGUAACGCAUGGAGCUAACUGGUACUAAUCGCUCGAGCGGCUUGAUUCG
rnacentral:rRNA from 1 species